rnacentral:rRNA from 1 species
AAUCAACGCUGGCGGCGUGCCUCAGACAUGCAAGUCGAACGAUUAAAAGCUCCCUUCGGGGGAGUGUAUAGAGUGGCGCACGGGUGAGUAACACGUAAGUAAUCUGCCUUUGAGUGGGGAAUAACCCGGGGAACCCGAGCUAAUACCGCAUAAUGCAGCGGCACCGCAAGGUGACAGUUGUUAAAGGAGCAAUCCGCUUAAAGAGGAGCUUGCGGCAGAUUAGCUAGUUGGAAGGUAAUGGCUUACCAAGGCUACGAUCUGUAUCCGGUCUAAGAGGACGGUCGGACACACUGACACUGAAUAACGGGUCAGACUCCUACGGGA